ACAACAAUUCUAUGUGCUAGGAAGAAUAGCUAAAAAAAUCCAGGAGAGUCUUUGGAUAGAGUCAGUGUGUCUCCAACUUAAGAGGAGUCAGUCGAGAAGGUCAGUCGGCGAAAAAACAUCGGCGAUGACGACGAAUGAGUCUGACCUUCUGCCCAUAAUGAUAAAGCAUGGCUGAAGCAGUGGAGUGAAGCUGCCAUUAACCCAGACCAAGAUGCAGAAACGCAGAAUCAAUCGAGGAGUGCGCUUUUAUGAUGGAGUCGGCUCUGAUUUACUGUAGCCAUAAAGCCUCUCUGAGAGGCCAUGCGGUCUGCCGAAGUCUGAGAGGUACUCUAUUGUUCUACUGUAGUUUCACAAAGUUCUAUCACUCACUUCCUCAGCUGAAACUACCUUACGAGUGUGUAAAAGUAAUAAAACAAGAAUUUCUGCACCAAUUUCUGUGCCUUGCCUCACACUGUCGUGAAAGAAAUAAAGGAGAAGAAAUCCUGCUCACA